UGCCCAGCAACUCCUAUCCCUACCUCCACGCGGUACCGACCGGAAACUAUGAGCAACCUUAGGGAAGAUCGGGUAACCAACCCCGGUGGGAACUUUGGUCGUAGGCUGACAGGGAAGA
rnacentral:ribozyme from 1 species